rnacentral:rRNA from 1 species
CCAUNCCGCGUGAGGAAGAAGCCUUUCGGGGUGUAAAGUUCUUUCGGCUGGAAGAAAUCGCACUCUCUAAUACGGGGUGUGGAUGNCGGUCCAGCAUAAGAANACCGCUUAACUACGUNCCANCANCCGCGGUAAUACGUAGGGUGCGAGCGUUAUUCGGAAUUACUGGGCGUAAAGCGUGCGCAGGCGGUUGUGUAAGACAGACGUGAAAUCCCCGGGCUCANCCUGGGAACUGCGUUUGUGACUGCACGGCUAGAGUACGNCAGAGGGGGGUGGAAUUCCACGUGUAGCAGUGAAAUGCGUAGAGAUGUAGAGGAACACCGAUGGCGAAGGCAGCCCCCUGGGCCAGUANUGACGCUCAUGCACGAAAGCGUGGGGAGCAAACAGGAUUAGAUACCCUGGUAGUCCACGCCCUAACGAUGUCAACUAGCUGUUGGUGGGGUUAAACCCAUUAGUAGCGUAGCUAACGCGUGAAGUUGACCGCCUGGGGAGUACGGCCGCAAGGUUAAAACUCAAAGGAAUUGACGGGGACCCGCACAAGCGGUGGAUGAUGUGGAUUAAUUCGAUGCAACGCGAAAAACCUUACCUACCCUUGACAUGCNCAGGAACUUGUCAGAGAUGGCUUGGUGCCCGAAAGGAGCCUGGACACAGU